AUGGUGCCCGUACCGCAAACCGACACAGGUAGGCGAGGAGAGAAUCCUAAGGUGAGCGAGAGAACUCUCGUUAAGGAACUCGGCAAAAUGACCCCGUAACUUCGGGAGAAGGGGUGCUCUUGCGGGUGCAAGCCUGCGAGAGCCGCAGUGAAUAGGCCCAGGCGACUGUUUAGCAAAAACACAGGUCUCUGCGAAGCCGCAAGGCGAAGUAUAGGGGCUGACACCUGCCCGGUGCUGGAAGGUUAAGAGGAGGGGUUAGCGUUCGCGCGAAGCUCUGAAUUGAAGCCCCAGUAAACGGCGGCCGUAACUAUAACGGUCCUAAGGUAGCGAAAUUCCUUGUCGGGUAAGUUCCGACCCGCACGAAAGGUGUAACGAUCUGGGCACUGUCUCAACGAGAGACUCGGUGAAAUUAUAGUACCUGUGAAGAUGCAGGUUACCCGCGACAGGACGGAAAGACCCCGUGGAGCUUUACUGCAGCCUGAUAUUGAAUUUUGGUACAGCUUGUACAGGAUAGGUAGGAGCCUUGGAAGCCGGAGCGCUAGCUUCGGUGGAGGCAUUGGUGGGAUACUACCCUGGCUGUAUUGACAUUCUAACCCGCACCCCUUAUCGGGGUGGGAGACAGUGUCAGGUGGGCAGUUUGACUGGGGCGGUCGCCUCCUAAAAAGUAACGGAGGCGCCCAAAGGUUCCCUCAGAAUGGUUGGAAAUCAUUCGUAGAGUGUAAAGGCACAAGGGAGCUUGACUGCGAGACCUACAAGUCGAGCAGGGACGAAAGUCGGGCUUAGUGAUCCGGUGGUUCCGCAUGGAAGGGCCAUCGCUCAACGGAUAAAAGCUACCCCGGGGAUAACAGGCUUAUCUCCCCCAAGAGUCCACAUCGACGGGGAGGUUUGGCACCUCGAUGUCGGCUCAUCGCAUCCUGGGGCUGUAGUCGGUCCCAAGGGUUGGGCUGUUCGCCCAUUAAAGCGGUACGCGAGCUGGGUUCAGAACGUCGUGAGACAGUUCGGUCCCUAUCCGUCGUGGGCGUAGGAAAUUUGAGAGGAGCUGUCCUUAGUACGAGAGGACCGGGAUGGACGCACCGCUGGUGUACCAGUUGUCUUGCCAAAGGCAUCGCUGGGUAGCUAUGUGCGGAAGGGAUAAGUGCUGAAAGCAUCUAAGCAUGAAGCCCCCCUCAAGAUGAGAUUUCCCAUAGCGUAAGCUAGUAAGAUCCCUGAAAGAUGAUCAGGUUGAUAGGUCAGAGGUGGAAGCGUGGCGACAUGUGGAGCUGACUGAUACUAAUAGAUCGAGGACUUAACU
rnacentral:rRNA from 1 species